GAGUGUGAUCAUAUCGGCACUAAAGCACCAGAUCCCAUUAGAACUUCGAAGUUAAGCAUGCUUAGGCGAGAGUAGUACCUGGAUGGGUGACCCCUUGGGAAGAUCUCGUGUUGCACUCC